UAUCUCUCCUAUAUUAAUUCUUUUUGGAUUGAUAUGGGGACUUGGGGUCUUUAUCGUCGGCAGUUACUCGUAACUACCGGUGAACCCUUUAAAUGUAGUAAGCUCCCUUCUAUUUCAUUAUCGGAAAUACGCAAACUUGGGGAUGGCGUCGUAGCAAUCACUUUACCGUAUUGUCGAAACGCCUACAACAUACCUCUAAUCUGCGGUGCUAAUCCUUUAUUAGUUGGGCGAAGCUUAACGACUGGCAAAGUGCCAUGCUCCACUAUAUACGGAGUACACGAACAA
rnacentral:misc_RNA from 1 species